rnacentral:rRNA from 1 species
GGGGAAUUUUGGACAAUGGGGGCAACCCUGAUCCAGCCAUGCCGCGUGCGGGAAGAAGGCCUUCGGGUUGUAAACCGCUUUUAGUCGGGAAGAAAAGGCGCGGGUGAAUACCCCGCGUUUUUGACGGUACCGGCGGAAUAAGCACCGGCUAACUACGUGCCAGCAGCCGCGGUAAUACGUAGGGUGCGAGCGUUGUCCGGAAUCAUUGGGCGUAAAGGGCGCGUAGGUGGCCCGGUCAGUCUUUGGUGAAAGCGCGGGGCUCAACCCUGCGUCGGCCAGGGAUACUGCCGCGGCUGGAGCACUGUAGAGGCAGGCGGAAUUCCGGGUGUAGCGGUGGAAUGCGUAGAUAUCUGGAGGAAUACCGGUGGCGAAGGCGGCAUCCUGGACCGACAUUGACGCUGAUGAGCGAAAGCUAGGGGAGCAAAC